rnacentral:rRNA from 1 species
AUGCACGCUGGCGGCGUGCCUAAUACAUGCAAGUCGAGCGAACAGACGAGGAGCUUGCUCCUCUGACGUUAGCGGCGGACGGGUGAGUAACACGUGGAUAACCUACCUAUAAGACUGGGAUAACUUCGGGAAACCGGAGCUAAUACCGGAUAAUAUAUUGAACCGCAUGGUUCCAUAGUGAAAGACGGUUUUGCUGUCACUUAUAGAUGGAUCCGCGCCGCAUUAGCUAGUUGAUAAGGUAACGGCUUACCAAGGCAACGAUGCGUAGCCGACCUGAGAGGGUGAUCGGCCACACUGGAACUGAGACACGGUCCAGACUCCUACGGGAGGCAGCAGUAGGGAAUCUUCCGCAAUGGGCGAAAGCCUGACGGAGCAACGCCGCGUGAGUGAUGAAGGUCUUCGGAUCGUAAAACUCUGUUAUUAGGGAAGAACAAAUGUGUAAGUAACUAUGCACGUCUUGACGGUACCUAAUCAGAAAGCCACGGCUAACUACGUG